AGACAUGAUCAUCCGGGGGUGCAGCAAUAAAUAUUGACAGAGGGUCAUCGCUCAGAUAUUGUCAAAACGGAUAAGCGUUUUUGACAUAUGAAAACUAAACACACAGAAAAACACUCGCGUUUUCGUAAUAUGAUACACACGUGACCAGCCUUUAAUACCGCCAAAGGUAUCCAGUGUCCUAGCUGCAGCUGAGAGGGAAAUGUACAACUACACAGGGCUAGAAGAAUCAUGAUUACAAUCUGGAUUAAAAGCAGUGAGUUCAUUGGACAGCAUUCAAAAGAAAAAAAUUGAAGAACACAGAAAAGAAACACCUGAAAUCAUGAUAUUGGAUGAAUUUUAAUAUAUCAAGAUGCUGAAGUAUAAAUGAAUAUGAAGGUUAUAGGAAGUAAACCUGAAAAAGUUCUGAGGUGUUUUACCAAAGAUAAACAAAAAAAGAAUUGAAGGAGGCAGAGUACAAAUUUCUUCCUGAAACUGGAUACUCAAAGGCAAGGGGAAGAAGUCGCAUACUUUCAUAUCCAUACAUGAAAAUGUUGUUGAAAACGAAGUGGAUAAGUACACAAAAAGCCACCAUGAGGAGGGACUCAGAUCAGCUUUAUAUUUGAAAGGGACAAGAACAAUUAGAAAUGUCAGAUAUAGCGACUGAAACUUUAUAUUAUUUUACAUGUUCCAUCUAUUAUACUGUUACAGUAUCAAUCUUGGAAAAUAUUUGUGAUUUUAUAAAGAAUAAUUGCAAUGAAUAAAAUUUCAUACAUUUUUUUU